CAUUUAUGCUUCAUUGAAUUCAGCCAGUAGUUAGGUCUGCCUCUGGCAGUGAACAGAAGAAAGCAGCCAAGGGUUCACUCCCCGAGCCAGCACGCAAGGGUGUCCGUGCAGCUGGACUUUCAGGUGUGUCACGCUGGGGCUGAGGCCUCCGGAGGGACUCCUAGAAGGGAGGCGUGCGUGUAAAGCGCCAUCCUCAGCAGCCCACGACCUCGGACGGUUUGCCACUGUGGCCAGUGUUUUAUUGAUGCUUCUGAGGCCAUAGAGCACGCACGGGGAAGUUCUGAGCACACGGAGGACAAGCCAGGGCGGUGCUGUGUGGCCGCAGUCAACCCUAAGUAGGGUCCGAGUGGGGGACGGUCGCUAACACCUCGAUUCCUCAUGUCUGUGUUUCUGCAGCUUGGAGCUUGGAGAGUGUGUGUGAGAGCGACCUCGCUGACAGCAACCUCGCAGAAAGUGAUCGAGACUCGGUGGCGGAGCGCACCGACUGCCGCCAGGAUGAGGAGGCUGCAGGAACUCACGACGACGAUGUUGUGGAGGCCGGUGGGAGUGAGAAGACUGAGGCAAAGCCCCGGGCUGGGGGACAUGAGGACGAGGCGGCCCCAGUACCUGAGGUGGAGGUGGAGGAGGAGGCGGGCCAGCCCCGUGAAAAUGGCCAGGAGGAGUCCUUAGCCAUCGCCUGGGCUGAGCCGGAAGACGAGCCUGGCCCCAAGGUGGACGGGGCGGACGAUGAAAUCUCUUGGAGCUUGGAGAGUGUGUGUGAGAGCGACCUCGCUGACAGCAACCUCGCAGAAAGUGAUCGAGACUCGGUGGCGGAGCGCACCGACUGCCGCCAGGAUGAGGAGGCUGCAGGAACUCACGACGACGAUGUUGUGGAGGCCGGUGGGAGUGAGAAGACUGAGGCAAAGCCCCGGGCUGGGGGACAUGAGGACGAGGCGGCCCCAGUACCUGAGGUGGAGGUGGAGGAGGAGGCGGGCCAGCCCCGUGAAAAUGGCCAGGAGGAGUCCUUAGCCAUCGCCUGGGCUGAGCCGGAAGACGAGCCUGGCCCCAAGGUGGACGGGGCGGACGAUGAAAUCUCUUGGAGCUUGGAGAGUGUGUGUGAGAGCGACCUCGCUGACAGCAACCUCGCAGAAAGUGAUCGAGACUCGGUGGCGGAGCGCACCGACUGCCGCCAGGAUGAGGAGGCUGCAGGAACUCACGACGACGAUGUUGUGGAGGCCGGUGGGAGUGAGAAGACUGAGGCAAAGCCCCGGGCUGGGGGACAUGAGGACGAGGCGGCCCCAGUACCUGAGGUGGAGGUGGAGGAGGAGGCGGGCCAGCCCCGUGAAAAUGGCCAGGAGGAGUCCUUAGCCAUCGCCUGGGCUGAGCCGGAAGACGAGCCUGGCCCCAAGGUAAGCUCACCUUUCUUGAUGUGAGGUUGGAAAAGGUGCCUCCUUUCUUCUUGGAUGUACCUCCUUCAGAAAUGGAAAUCUGAGAAAGUCCACUGUAGAUGAUAUAUGCAGAUUGCUGUGCGGAGGACUGUUGAGUCCAAGUUUGGUACCAAGCAGUAGCUCCUUCCCCGGGGCAUUUGCAAAAGGGACCGCAUCAGUUCCCAAGUGUGCAGUAGGGAGCAUAUGUCUUUGAAGAAGCCGGAAUGUUGUUUUGUCUUGUCUUUUUUUGCCUUUUCUAGGGCCCCUCCCGCGGCAUAUGGAGAUGAGGUUCCCAGGCUAGGGGUCUGAUCGGAGCUGUAGCCACCGGCCUACGCCAGAGCCACAGCAACGUGGGAUCCGAGCCUCGUCUGCCACCUACACCACAGCUCAGGGCAGCGCCGGAUACUUCACCCACUGAGCAAGGCCAGGGAUCGAACCCGCAACCUCAUGGUUCUUGGUCCGAUUCGUUAACCACUGUGCCACGAUGGGAAGGCCAAAGAAGCCUGAAUGUUUGUUAAAUGUACGAGGACUUGGGAGAUCUUCCAUGAAAAGCUGGCGCCUUUUCCAAAGGGGUCUUCGCCGUGUUCUUUUGGGGAAACGGACUCAACGCUGCCUUCUGUCUGCGUGCCUGCGGUCCCCAACGGCAGGAAGACCUGUGGCCGCAGUGCAGAGGAUGCUGUGACACUCACCGUGUUUUCUCUUGUCUCAUCACAGGUGGACGGGGCGGACGAUGAAAUCUGUGAGUAUUCUGGAGCCCGGCUCUGCUGAGGAGAAGUCCAGGUGUUGAGGAAAUGGGGGGGGGCCCGCGAGGGAGGCGGGGUGGGGGGGCUCUCCUGCUCCUUUGGUUGCAGAGACACCCUGAUUCUGGGUUCCUCCUGGGAAUGAGGGUGAAGGAUGGGGUGAAAGAGACGGACUUCCCAAGAAGGGCCACCCCAGGUUCUAGGGUCCCUGGACGAAAGGAGGCUCUUUGUAUGGCGUGGGUAGGUGUCGGGGGACACGGCCGGGG
ensembl:lncRNA